GUUACUUCUUGUGACAUGGACCUACGAGGAGGGUCCUCUCGCCACAGUAACAUUCUCGAUGAGAGGCCAUGUACUAAGCAUAUCAUGUCAAGAUACAGGGAUCAAGGCACAGACACAAAGAUUUAUGUGGGAGACCUACCCAAAGAUGCAUCUGAGAAAGAAAUAGAUCGCCACUUCAGUUAUUACGGUCGUUUACGAAAUGUAUGGGUGGCAAGAAAUCCCCCAGGUUUUGCUUUUGUUGAGUUUGAAGAUCCACGGGAUGCUGAGGAUGCAGUGAGAGCACUUGAUGGAACAACUGUCUGUGGCGCAAGAGUGCGUGUCGAACACUCCACUGGAAAAGUGCGCCCUAAACCAUGGCUGAGGGGCAGUGGAGGUAGCGGAGGUGGUGGUGGUGGCGGCGGCGGCGGUGGCGGCGGUGGGGGCGGUGGUGGUGGUGGUAGAGGCCCUCCACGUCCCCGGAAACAGUUCCACCCUGAAGACCGAUGCUAUGAGUGUGGAGACCGAGGACACUAUGCCUAUGACUGCUACAAGUAUAGCCGCAGAAGGUCAAAGAGAUCAAGACUUUCCCUUCUUCCACUUACGAUUCUGAUGAGAAUCAUCGCUCAUUCCACCAGACUAAGAUAUCAACCUUCAUCCCCGACUUCUAGACUUCACAUAUCUCUCACGUGAUCAGCCAUCGCUGAAAUUACGACCCCAUCCCCCCGUGGUGACUUCACUCAGAGAGAAACUCGAUCUGCAACAAUUUCAGCCCAAAAUUCGACCAUCUCCUUCAGUUCACCUGAGACAAGCGUCAAAUAGAUCUCGAAACAACAAGCACAAUCGAUGAUCAUCCUUCUAUCAUACACAGUAGAAUGGGUCAACACAUCAUUUCUGCUGCGUUCCAAUGAUUGAAUGAGAUGAUCGAUUGAACAUACACGACCAUUAUCUAGAAAUUCAUGACUGCUGUAAGCGUAAGUCUAAAACUGCCGAGAAUGAAUCUGAUAUUAAGAGAAAAUAUGGUUGCUUUCCAUACUGGCAAAGACUUUCAAUCACCCAAUGUUUUUGUUAUCAUGAAAUUGUGUUCAAAGUUUCACCUUUUGGCUAUUUUCCAUCAAAGAAUUAGUUAAAGUAAAACAUUUUAAAAUUAUUUUUUUUCUUAUUUUUGUCAGUUAAAUCUGGUGCUACAUGUAUUUUUGUAUUUCAGCUUACUUGUUUCUAUAAAAAGUACCUAAAAUAUUACAAAGUCCCAUAUAUUAUUUUUGGUAGAAUUAUUUUCAGGCGACCUUUGGUCUGUGGUAAGUGAAGGUAGGAGUAAACUUUUGAAUUAAAUUGCUUCCCCAGUUUUGUUUUUACACAUUACUAAUGUUCCAUUCAGAUAUUCUAAUAUGUAAUGUAUCCCAACAGGCCAUUUAGGUGUGUUUACUCUAUUGCAAUGUGUAAAGUGAGAGGCUGAUAUAAUUUCAGGUCUAGAUCGCAUUCUAGAUCAAGGAGUGUGUCUCGCAGCCGGAGCCGCAGCAGGAGCCGCAGCCGCAGUCGAGGUGGGAGAUAUUCCCGCAGUCGGAGCCACAGUCGGAGCAGGUCCCCACGCGACCGCUCCCGAUCUAGAUCACGCUCCCGUGACCAUGAAGAUGACCGAGAAUAAGAAGGAUAUACCGAGUGCUACAAAAUUGUCCUUCAAUGAGAACAACUACGUUGACUCUGUUCCAUCAUGUAUGUCAUUGCUACUGUCCUGUAACGGAAACUAGGUGUAAGUAAUCAACAUGUAGAUAAUGGAACAGCCUGUUCGUCAAUGCCAGAAAAGGUAUGGAAAAACAGUUCGAUCAGGAUUGCUGCAAAUGUGGACAACUUGUAGGAUGCUGAACAGUUUCUUGGUAUAUAUGACUCCUGUUACCGGAACAAAUGCUGAACAGAACAUUACACGUUGUUCUGUUGAAUUCCAACAGUUUGGAUUGAUGAUACUCCUGUAAUUGAAAAGUGUAUGUUGAACAGUUUGACUUACUUUUUAAUGUCUCAUCCCUGUCAUUGUCUUAAGUUCAUUGUCAUUUCUUUUGUCAUUUUAUGAGAGUUUCAUACAGUGUACCAUCUGAUGUAUUGAAUUCCAUUUAAUAAAGGUUCCUCUGUGUACUUA